UACGUAGGUGGCAAGCGUUGUCCGGAUUUAUUGGGUUUAAAGGGUGCGUAGGCGGUUUCAUAAGUCAGUGGUGAAAUACGGCAGCUCAACUGUCGAGGUGCCAUUGAUACUGUGAGACUUGAGUACAGACGAGGUAGGCGGAAUUGACGGUGUAGCGGUGAAAUGCUUAGAUAUCGUCAAGAACACCGAUAGCGAAGGCAGCUUACUAGGCUGUAACUGACGCUGAGGCACGAAAGUGUGGGGAUCAAACAGGA
rnacentral:rRNA from 1 species